rnacentral:rRNA from 1 species
UGGUGCCUACGGGGCGCAGCAGUGAGGAAUAUUGGUCAAUGGGCGGAAGCCUGAACCAGCCAAGUCGCGUGAGGGAAUAAGGCCCUACGGGUCGUAAACCUCUUUUGCCGGGGAGCAAGGGCCGGGACGCGUCCCGGCCCGGAGAGUACCCGGAGAAAAAGCAUCGGCUAACUCCGUGCCAGCAGCCGCGGUAAUACGGAGGAUGCGAGCGUUAUCCGGAUUUAUUGGGUUUAAAGGGUGCGUAGGCGGGCCUUUAAGUCAGCGGUAAAAAUUCGGGGCUCAACCCCGUCCGGCCGU